AGUGAACGCUGGCGGUAGGCCUAACACAUGCAAGUCGAGCGGCAGCUCGGGCGCAGCCUUCGCGGCCGGAGGGCGACGGGUGAGGGCUUCGUCGGGACCUGGGUAUUUACGGUUGCGGGCGGAGGAAAACUUGUGAACAUACCGCAUACGUGCUACGGGAGCACGUGGGGAACCAGCAGGUCUCCGGCCUGAGGGUGAGCCGACGACCCAUUAGCUAGUCGGUGGGGUAAAGGCCCACCGAGGCGACGAUCGGUCGCUGGUCUGAGAGGAUGAUCAGCCACACUGGAACUGAGACACGGCCCAGACUCCUACGGGAGGCAGCAGUGGGGAAUAUUGGACAAUGGGGGCAAGCCUGACCCAGCCAUCCCGCGUGGGUGAAGAAGGCCUUCGGGUUGUAAAGAGCUUUUGUGGGGAAAGAAAAGCCGCCGGUUAAUCCCAUAGGGGUAUGACGGGACCCCAAGAAUAAGCACCGGCUAACUUCGUG
rnacentral:rRNA from 1 species